rnacentral:rRNA from 1 species
GCGGCAGGCUUAACCGUGCAGUGUGACCGGAGGACGUUGAGCUUGCUACAUUUCCUAGCGCGGGACGGGGGAGUAAUGCUUAGGAAUCUGCCUAUUAGUGGGGGACAACGUUUCGAAAGGAACGCUAAUACCGCAUACGCCCUAGGGAGAAAAGCAGGGGAUUUUCGGACCUUGCGCUAAUAGAUGAGCCUAAGUCAGAUUAGCUAGUUGGUGGGGUAAAGGCCUACCAAGGCGACGAUCUGUAGCGGGUCUGAGAGGAUGAUCGCCCACACUGGGACUGAGACACGGCCCAGACUCCUACGGGAGGCAGCAGUGGGGAAUAUUGGACAAUGGGGGGAACCCUGAUCCAGCCAUGCCGCGUGUGUGAAGAAGGCCUUUUGGUUGUAAAGCACUUUAAGCGAGGAGGAGGCUACUAGUACUAAUACUACUGGAUAGUGGACGUUACUCGCAGAAUAAGCACCGGCUAACUCUGUGCCAGCAGCCGCGGUAAUACAGAGGGUGCGAGCGUUAAUCGGAUUUACUGGGCGUAAAGCGUGCGUAGGCGGCUUUUUAAGUCGGAUGUGAAAUCCCUGAGCUUAACUUAGGAAUUGCAUUCGAUACUGGGAAGCUAGAGUAUGGGAGAGGAUGGUAGAAUUCCAGGUGUAGCGGUGAAAUGCGUAGAGAUCUGGAGGAAUACCGAUGGCGAAGGCAGCCAUCUGGCCUAAUACUGACGCUGAGGUACGAAAGCAUGGGGAGCAAACAGGAUUAGAUACCCUGUUAGUCCAUGCCGUAAACGAUGUCUACUAGCCGUUGGGGCCUUUGAGGCUUUAGUGGCGCAGCUAACGCGAUAAGUAGACCGCCUGGGGAGUACGGUCGCAAGACUAAAACUCAAAUGAAUUGACGGGGGCCCGCACAAGCGGUGGAGCAUGUGGUUUAAUUCGAUGCAACGCGAAGAACCUUACCUGGUCUUGACAUAGUAAGAACUUUCCAGAGAUGGAUUGGUGCCUUCGGGAACUUACAUACAGGUGCUGCAUGGCUGUCGUCAGCUCGUGUCGUGAGAUGUUGGGUUAAGUCCCGCAACGAGCGCAACCCUUUUCC